rnacentral:rRNA from 1 species
AUUCCAGCUCCAAUAGCGUAUAUUUAAGUUGUUGCAGUUAAAAAGCUCGUAGUUGGAUUUCGGUUGAGAGCGGCCGGUCCGCCGUUUGGUGUGCACUGGCUGGUUUCAGCUUCCUGCAGAGGACGCGCUCUGGGCUUAAUCGUCUGGACGUGGAGUCUGCGUGGUUACUUUGAAAAAAUUAGAGUGUUCAAAGCGGGCUUACGCUUGAAUAUUUCAGCAUGGAAUAACACUAUAGGACUCCUGUCCUAUUUCGUUGGUCUCGGGACGGGAGUAAUGAUUAAGAGGAACAGUUGGGGGCAUUCGUAUUUCAAUGUCAGAGGUGAAAUUCUUGGAUUUUUGAAAGACGAACUUCUGCGAAAGCAUUUGCCAAGGAUGUUUUCAUUA